AACGGGGUUCGCCCCUUGUCCACAAACACACCCCCGUGCACGUUGAAGGCCCGGCUCGUUGAGUGGGUGGGCGACCGCCCAGGAUUCGUAGCCUCGCUUUCUUACACAAACUUCAGAAUGUACAUCAGAAUGUCUUACGCGUGUAACGCAUCGUAAUAUAACUUUCAGCAACGGAUCUCUUGGCUCUCGCAUCGAUGAAGAACGCAGCGGAAAUGCGAUAAGUAAUGUGAAUUGCAGAAUUCAGUGAAUCAUCGAAUCUUUGAACGCACCUUGCGCUCCUUGGCAUUCCGAGGAGCAUGCCUGUUUGAGUGUCAUGAAACUCUCAACCCCUGCCAUCUUUGCGGAUGAGCGUCGGUUGGAUUUUGGAGGUUGCCGGACUCGUUCGGCUCCCCUUGAAAGCAUAGUAAAGCUUGGACCUGACCGACCGGGUGGACGUGAUAGAAAGUCACCGUCGACCGAAGGGUCCGUCGCUGAACGGUUCAAGCUUUGUUUGUCGU
rnacentral:rRNA from 1 species